GAUGAACGCUGGCGGCGUGCCUAAUACAUGCAAGUAGAACGCUGAAGGAAGGAGCUUGCUCUUUCCGGAUGAGUUGCGAACGGGUGAGUAACGCGUAGGUAACCUGCCUGGUAGCGGGGGAUAACUAUUGGAAACGAUAGCUAAUACCGCAUAACAGUAGAUGUUGCAUGAUAUCUACUUAAAAGGUGCAAUUGCACUACUACCAGAUGGACCUGCGUUUUAUUAGCUAGUUGGUGAGGUAACGGCUCACCAAGGCGACGAUACAUAGACGACCUGAGAGGGUAGCCGGCCACACUGGGACGGAGGCACGGCCCAAACUGCUACGGGAGGCAGCAGGAGGGAUACUUCGGCAAUGGACGGAAGUCUAACCCAGCAGCGCCGCGUGCGUGCAGAAGAUUGUCGGAUCGUAAAGCUCUGUUGUUAGAGAAGAACGAGUGUGAGAGUGGAAAGUUCACAGUGUGACGGUAUCUUACCAGAAAGGUACGGCUAACUACGUG
rnacentral:rRNA from 1 species